rnacentral:lncRNA from 1 species
UUAAAAGAUUGAACAGUCUAGCCAAGUGUCAUGUCUCUUAUUCUUGAUCAGCUACAGCUCUGGAGUUUUUAUAGAUUUUCAAAUAAAACUUAGAGAUUCCUUGUAUGACUCUCUCAAAUCUCUCUUUUAUGGUAUUUUUGGAUCCUUACCAAGGCAGUGAUGGUAUAUGCCUUCUCUCAAAAUAUUUGGUAUUUGUGGUAUAGGGCAUAGUGACAUUGCCUUCUCUCUCACCCUACUCUAAUAAGGCUUUAAUAUCUAGAGCUCAUAGGUGGAAGAUAAAGUAUACAUACUUACAAGACAUUUAUUGUAUAGUCAAACCAUGGAUCCAAAGAAACAAAUCAAUAAGUCAAAUCAAGUUGUGUAUGUGUGGCGAAUGAAUGGUGUAUGGUGAUGAUGGUGAUAACAAUGGUGAAAGUCUAAUUCUACUUUUGCUCUUUUGAGGGGAUACAUACCUUCCUUGCUUUUUGAAACUUUAUGAGGAGAAUGAGAUGCUCUAUAUUUUCUUUUUCUUUCCUCUCAGGUGGGAUCUUGUACCCCUAAUUCUACUGUCGGACUCUUGUCCAUUUUUACCUCUCGUCUCACUUUUUAUUUUCUUUUGAGGUUCCGGGCACUUGCCCCUUUUUAUUUCCUCAUAUCUCUCUUUUUUUUAGAGCACUCAUAUCUUGAGAUAAUAUAGCAAGUGGUAGUAACAAGAUAACUUGAGCAUUUAUUUCACAAGGAAAAACAGAAAUAUUUUUGGCCAUUCUCUCCCGGAUUUGGAGUAGAAUGUUUUUGGUUGGUUCUGGAGAUGGAAAUGGGUGGAUAUAUGUGGAUUCAUACUUCCGGAGUAGAAGCAACAUGUGUGAGUGAAUGUGCAAGUGAAUCUUGAUUUAACCACGUGACAAGCUCCUAAGGGUCUACACAGCUUGACCACAUUCAAUGCUCAUAAGUAGUAAAAAGUAAAUGUGUGGCUCAUUGUCUAGCAAGCAUGUAUAUAUGGCUGUGGUAGGAAUUUAAACUCUCAUCAUACAGGAACUCAUCAUGCAAUAUUUUAAAGAUUUUCAAAGAUAAAAUUCUCCAGAAUUCUAGCAUCUCUAGGAACAGAUAAACAGCAGCUCAACCUUCCCAUAUCAUAUCCGUUAACAACUUAGACUUCAGAUAAAGUUUUCUUCCCACAAGUUCAGAUUUAGAGCAAGCUUUAAAUUAUAACUGUUAUGUCUAAACUAGAGAGCGAACUCAAAUUUUAAAAUUAGGCAGAGCAACUAUUCAUCACAUUCAUGCUAGAGUUUUAUUAUUAAGAUUCAGAUUAGCAUAGCCACUUUAUUUAUUUAUUAAACAUACUAAUCAAAAGACAUAUAUAUAAGCAUAAAAUCUUUAUUUGGUUUUCCAUAGUUAUGUAUAUUUAUAUUUUAAUAUAAUAUAAGUAUAAAGAUAGAUAGAAAUACUUAGCGGGAUAAAUGGGGUUGCUCUCCCCCAAGCUGAAUUUUGACGUAAUUUCUUCUGAUGUAGCUAGCUGGUGGCAGAGGUGUAUUUGAAAGUCAGCAGUAUCUUGACAGCGAUUAGAAUGUCCUCCGUCUACUAGUCUUCUUGAUUCUUGAAUUCUGUGGAGCUCAAAUAGACAACAAAGCUCUGUGGAACUGAUUAAGUGUUAGCAUAAAUAUCUAGCCUUUAUUAUGUUGAGCCUCCUCAAUAAAUAUUACUCUCUAUUUUUUAUUUUCAUUUUAUAAAGCAGAAAAAUUAUUUAUUUUAUUUUUAUGCCACCACAGUGAAUAUACUUAUGGGUUUCAUGUCACACGUAUACUCACAUGGGGCUUACUGAUUUUUAACAUUUUUAUUUUCUUUUUAGGAUAGUAUGAACAUGAUUAACUACGCAAACUAUUUUAAAUAAUUGAAAGGGAAAGGAUAACUACCAAGUUUACCUCUUGGCAAGGCAUUCGGUGUUUUUAAGUCCUCCGAACGGGACUCUCCGUUUUCUAGUUGUCCUGGGAUUCGUUGGGUGGCGUAGUCGGUACUUCCGGCAGCGCCUCCUCUUCAUGUAUGGUUAUCUUCUCUUUCCAUUCCUAACUCGGUGCUAUGGUCUCUUCUGGAUAAUUCUGUUUAAACUGUAUGUCUUCUGACCUUACCACUUCUCCUUCGUAGUCUGCCCAUCCGUCCUUGAUGAUUUCCCUCCUCUGGUUGCGGUUGCGUCAUUUUCUGACCUGCUUAGAGUCUUCAACGAUAUAGUUAGGGUCAGUAAAAUAACGGCGUACCUUCUCUGAGGGGAAGUGCAUAUGGACUUCUCCAGUUCCAAUGUAGAUGAUUGCUUUAACGGUGUAGAGGAACGGUCUUCCAAAGAUGACGGGUGGAUCGUAUUCGUCUUCUCCCAUGUCAAUAACCUGAAAGUCUGUGUAGACAAAAUGAUCGUCUAUUUUGACAGGGACAUCAGUUACUGUUCCUUUAACCUCUCCAAAUGUCUGAUCUGCCAUCUGGAGCUGAAUGUAUGUUGGUUUUAGGGGCAUGGUUCCGAACAAGAGCCGAUAGGUGACUGCGGCCAUUAUGUUGAUGCCCGAUCCUGUGUCGCAAGUCGUCUUGUAGAAGUUGUAUCCAUUUAUGGAGUAAUAGAUGCUUGGCAUUCCUGGGUCAUCCUUCUUGGUCAGAAACGGUGACUUAAGUCGAUGAUCUUGACCUCCAUGAACUGCAGUGACCAUCUUAGCUGACUCGGUCCACACUUGCUUGUUCCUAUUCCUACUGUUGGUCCUCUUCCUUGGUUCAUGUCGAGAUUGAUCUGGGAUUUGUGUAGUCUUGUUCUUGAAGGAAAAUGUCUCCUUCUUCCCUUUGAUGUAGAAACUGAUCUUGGCAGCACUAGCGUAGAUAACAGCUCCCGAGGUGUUUAAGAAUGGCCUCCCUAAGAUGAUGGGUGCCCUUUCAUUAUUACCGGUCUCUAUCACUACGAAGUCUGCUGGGGCGUAUAAGGUACCAACUCAGACACAAAGGUUCUGCAAUAUUCCUUUUGGAAAACUUAUCGUCUGAUCUGCAAACUGCAAACACAUGGUUGUUUCUGAUAAAGGAUAUGUAAAGAAUUUUUCAUGGAGUACCCUGGGCAUAAUGUUGACACUAGAGCCAAAGUCGCAGAGUGCUUCUGGGAAGUCCACCAUGCUGAUGGAGAUCGGGAUGACAGGGCGUCCUGGAUCGCCUCUCUUGACCGGCAGAAGGUCAGUAGUAACUUCCGUGAUGGGGUUACUCCAGUUACCUGCAUCAAACAUGUCUACAAGAUUUAUAGAUUCUAAUCCUUCCAGUUGUGAUGGUAUACCGGGGUUAGUAGCAGGAACAGCAGCAGCUAUUUGAUUUAACUGGGAUUCAAUCGUUUUAUUAAAGCUAAUUUGAUUCUUGAUGGCAGUAGAGAAAUUAUCCAUUCUAUUAUUUAUAUUUUCUAGCAUUUUAUCAUUAGAUGCCAAUUUCUUAGAUAGGUUAUCCAUUAGCUUUCCUUGAUUUGACACUAACUCUCUCAGAGGUGGAUAAUUAUUAUUAUUGUAAGAAUUGUUACCUUGAUAAUUACCUGAGUAGUUAGGCCUCUGUUGAUUCCAACCUUGAUUUUGUUGAGGACGGUUGUAGUAGUAGUUGUUGUUAUUGUUGAUGUAGUUCACAUUCUCAAACAUCUUAGGGCAGUGAUUGCCUGAGUGUCCAGUGUCUCCACACUCCUCACAAGUCAUGUGACAGUCGUAGAUGUGCAUAACUUCUUUCUUAUCUCCAGCUCUAUCAUCGAGCUUCUUCAUGAGCAGGUCUAGCUUUGCAGACAACAUGUCUACCUCCUUGAGCUGAUGCAUACCUCCACCUCUCUUGCGUGCCUGGAUCCUUUCUUCAUUCCAGCAUUGGUUGGAUGCCAUCUUCUCCACAAGAGCUGUGGCUUGUGAUAUGGUGAGUGAUAGGAAUGCUCCUCCAGCUGCAACAUCCAUGGUCUCUCGGGCACUGUUGCCGAGCCCAUGAUAAAACGUCUGCAUUAGUAGCCAACUCUCCAUUCCAUGAUGGGGACAUUCUAGGAUGUAGUCUUGGUAGCGCUCCCAUGCUUCUGGAACAGAUUCAUCAUGUUGUUGCUGAAAACUUGUAAUCUUCCCACGGAGAGCAUUGGUCUUGCCCAUGGGAAAGAACUUAGCCAGAAAGUUCGUGGAGCAGAGUGCCCACUUAGUAUUCUUCUCCUAUGUAGCGUAGAACCAUUGCUUCGCUCUUCCUAACAGUGAGAAUCGGAAGAGGCGAAGUAGUAUAGCAUCUCUAGGGACUCCUGAUAUGGUGAAUGUGCUGCAGAUCUCCAAGAAGUGUUGGAGAUGAGCACUAGCAUCUUCGUGUGCCUUCCCACAGAACUGGUUCGAUUGCACCAUGUUGAUAAGUCUAGGCUUGAGCUCAAAGUUGUCGUCGAUCUCUGCAGCAGGUCUAGUGUGUAUGUUGUUCGUAGUGGGAGCUGAGAACUCACGGAUCAAUUUGUUCGCCAUGGCUUCGAACUCUGAAGACAAGUUCCUGUGAUCUUCUUGAUUGGAUGAAGCUUCUUGCUGUGAUGAUCUCUUCUUGAGCUUGGCUCUUGUUUUUCUGAAUAAGGCUUCGGGAUUGUCAACAAAAUUUCUUGGAAGAUGUUUUCUAUUCAUACAUUCCCCUGCAUAAGAUAAAAUAGAAAAAUAUCAGGGUAAAACUGUAUGAGAGAAUUGAUAAGCUCAAUCAUAUUAGUGAUGCGAAUGAUAACUCAAAAUUCUAUAUUCAUUCCUGAUUACUAAUCAACCUUCCCCGGCAACGGCGCGAAAAAUGCUUGUUGGGUAUUCUUAACGUCAUUACCAAAAGUAGACUUAGUUUUCUAAUUCUGAUAAUAGCGCCAAAAAUGCCAAACCUAUCCCUCAUACCACUUAAGCCAAGCUAUCAUCCCCAGCAUGACAUGAGAGACGCGGUAUUGAAAUAUGCAAUGCUCAUCUAAAUAAAUAAUGAAUGGGAUCUGCAAGCGCACAGAUUAAUACCGAUGUAGCAUUUUAACCGGGAAGUAUUCUAGGUAUUGUUAUUUAUAUUUUUACCACAGGGAAGGGAUUAGCAAUCAUCAAUGUUGAUUAUAGAAUGGAAUAUAAGAUUUAGUAUCUAUCAUUGCAUGUAUAAUUGAGAACAUUUAUCUAAUUAACUCUUUCAUACAGGGAUAAGUGCCACAUAAAGGAUAUAUGAAGUAAUGAAUAGUGACAAAGAUAAUUAAUCUGAUCAGCAUAACUUAGCCACGUAUAAAUAUGAUAAGCACCUCAAUUAGAUAUUCUAGCAAGUCAUUAGCAUGGAAUUAGAACAAACUACAAGAAUAUUUCCUAAGUUAUUAUUAACUAUACAGUCUAGCAUAUCAUAGUUAGUGCAAUUAUACUUAGCAAUCAUUGUGAGACAAGACUACGCCCAUGCAUAGUGAUAUUAGCAAGGAAUAUGAGAAACAUAGCAAUCACUCCCCUGUAAUAAUGUUGCUCUACCAGCCCAAUACACGAGAGGGGGACUAUAUAAGAAUAAAUGAAGUUGUCACUAUCACGAACUACCCCACGAUCUGGCAUAUAGGGUACAAUCGCAGAUAAAUACGGUAUAAGCACCACGCCUACACAAUAUCUAUCAUUUACCCAUGGAUCCGAUGGAUAAACACUAUACGAUCCUAAACAUGUAUAUAGAUCCAAUCUAACUAAGCCAAGUAUAUAACCAUGAUAAACUAAAAACAAUAUAAUCUUGAAUAUAACCAAGUAGAGCAAAGUCAUAAGCAAUAUAUUGAAGUAGAACAAAGUCAUAUUCAUAAUAUUCAAGAACAAAGAUGAACAAUUAGAAGAACAAUUAGAGAAUUACCAAGAAUCUUCUUGACAGAUCCGGAAACCAAUCGAAGAUUGACUCCUUCUAGUUCUAAUCCUAUGUAGCUAUGCUAAUCUAGAUAUCUAAUUGAUGUGGUGGCUCUAGGCUUGAUCAGAGGCUUCUUCUCUCUUGAUGAAUAAUGAAUUAGGAUUGAGAGGCUCUCUCCUCUAGGGGCCAGGGGGUCUAGUUUUAUAGUCCCUCCAAGUGAACAUGGGCCGUCGGAUCAAACCGACAUUGAUUGAACGGUUAUCCUUGAUCCUUUAGGUCGUGGAGCGUAAUCCCGAAAGAGUGUCCUGAUUGGACACCAACAGGGGGCGGGCGCCCUAGUCUCCUAGGCGGGUGCCCUGGGCCAGGCCCCGUUUCGCCUCCGCUUUGUUCCCAUGGCUUCUGGAGUCUUCUAGAUGUAAGAUAAUUGCGCAGCACGUUGAUAUCUCUAUGUAAUCCCGACGUGUGGGCCUUUCUUCCGUAUUUCUUGUUAACCCCCUGCAGAAAUAGACAAACACCAAAACUCGUGGAAUUCUAUUAGAUAAAACCCUAAGUCUGGAUGUUGAUUUCAUUUGGAUCCUUUUAUUUGUUUAUUUGAUAAUUGAAUUUGAUACUUAAGGACCAUCAACAGCGACCUCAUGAAGCGGCUGGGUGGGGAUCCAAGACCGUGGUGGUGAAACUUGGUGAAGGAGACAACCUACCCCUUUGGUGGGUUUGGCUCCCGGUGGUCCGCCAAUUUAGCGAUCCACUCGGGUCGCGUUGAGGAGGCAUGGGGGCGCAGGAUCCCCUGCUUCUCUAGGUCCCUGACCCGACGCUCCAUCAUGGACGACGGGCGCCAGUCAUCAGUGGCGACGAGCCUCACAAGCAUCUCGGCAGAAGGUGGGGGUGACGCUACAGAUCUCUUCGCUCGAGGGUAUGAAGUGCUUCAAGAAGGCAAGAGGAUGCAGGAGAACAGGAGCGAGAGGAAUGACAGAAUGCAGAAGAGACGCCUACCGGGCGAUCCAUCCAUAUUUAUAGACGGCCCCCCAAUGGGCGGAUCCGACAAACAAGGUAACUCACUCAGUAAAUGCACCGCCUAAUGGUCCUCUUCCUCUCUCUGAUAGGACGUUACGAAUUCAACCAACAGAACUGCGCCACAAUGACUCCCUCCUAAAAAGUCGCGCCCAAUAGGCAAGAAAAUGAAUCGCCAUGACUCUUCCUUCCACUGCAAGGUAAGGCAGGCGUGCGCCACCAUAAGAAUCUCCAGGGAGCGCAGACCAGCCCACCAGACGGGUUCGACGAUCGCCCUCGAGUACUAGAGUCAGGGACACCCAACGAUGGGUCGAAAAUAAGGCCUGCCUUGAGAACUUGCUGGGAGUAUCCAAGGCAGGGGCAAGAAGGUUGAGAGGAAUCCGCACGGAGGGAGGCAUUGAACCGCUGGACUUUAUUGAAUGAGACCAGUAUCCCAGACCACACUAGCCCUGCUUUAAUGAGGACGCACCCGGGCUGCAGGCAACCCCCUCGAAUGGGGCAUGGGUUCUCGCUUGGAUCACCCGACAGGAGCUCGCCCAGGACGAUAACACCCGCUCCAUCGGGAGCACAUCAUACUCCCAGCCUCGAAAAGGUAAGGCCAGCCAAUAAGGGUCGGAGGCUCCCUUCCGGAGCAAACGCCUUUCGAAGAAAAGAGAGAUCAGGAGCUAUCCCACUAGAAAAAGCAGUAUAGCCUUGAAGGAGUCUAAAACUCCUCCACAGAAACUCGACCAUCGGGAGAACCUCUGCUCGAGCACAAGUGCUCGAGCAGAGGAUAUCAACAAGGGGUAUCCCAGCCUGCACCUAUAACGAGAGGAUUCACAAAUAAAUCAAGGCUCCAACUGGACGCUCCAACAUAGACACAUGAUCGCCAGGGCUCGAUGUCGAUCAAGGCCUCGAACACGGAAACAGGGUAAUGCGAGUCUACAGAGGCUCGAUGAGCUGCGACCGUCGAGUACGAGAGUGGCUCGAGCGAAUUGGUAGACCUCGAGCGCCAAAGCGCCUCCCGCCGCCUGACGCGUGUACGGGAGCCAGAGCAUUUCAUGUGUCUUCCAUGCUACCACCUAACCCAACAGUCACGGGGAACAUGAUAGGGAACAAGCACCCAUCAAAUCUCCCCUUUUUCCACCUUUAUCCCCCAAGAUGGACAAGAGUACGGCUCGGCGAAGCGUGGCAGACGUGAUGUCUCAUCAUGUCACCCCUUGAGACACCUGAAGUCAGCGGUCCCAUGCAGCAAGGCCGCUCAUGCAACCCAAACCUCGAGCUGGCAUGUUCCUUCUCAGGGAAGAAUUAGGCGAAGGGAGUCAGCGCUUCAACCACCCCAGACAUGACUACUACCGCGACGUACAAGCGUGCUCAUGCCUAAGCCAAUCUAGGACGAUGUACAGGAGCUGAGUUCAGGAACGCACGCGCCAUCAUCACCAAAGUACUCUGUAAUAAGACGGCUUGUGGCCAUGUUGGUACGGAGGCCUCGAGUAGGUCAGCACGCCAUACCCCUAUCAAGGCUUAUUCUAAUGCCUACACCCUGUAACCUAAGUCUCCCCUUGGAGCUAUAAAAGGGAACACUGAGGGCGAUAUACGAGGAGAACUUUCAGCGCACAACCCACAAGAUACGAUCCAUACACCUCCAUCAGCUAGGACUUAGAAUCCUCAGAUAUAUCUGCUUGUAUUCGCCCCUGUACAAGGACUUAGGUGCAAAAUAAUACGAAGCCUUCUCCCCCACUGGACGUAGGGCCUCUUCUUGCCCGAACCAAGAUAAAUCUUUGUGUUAUUCUUGCAUCACCAUCCGGAAAAGGGAGCACACACACAAAUUCACUCGUUGGUGUCACCCCCCAGGGUCAAAACAAUGACACAUACCAAGAAGUUGCAACUUCUUUUCCAUAAGCCCAUCUCCAAAGAACCCUAAAGUUAUGCGUGCUUGGCCUAGAGAAAUUUAGGGAUGGGUGACCGACCAGGAAGUACUUCCCGGGUGCGCACGAGUGAGGACAAAGUGUGUAGAAAAGACUAGUGUUGGUCUGUGGGGACCGAUUAUAUCCUAGAAAAGCUGCCAAAUGUAAGCGGGCUCGGCCUCAUGGAGGCGAGAUGUCACAGGGAUCAACACUGAGUCAGUUCAGUUAGUUACUCCGUCUUGGUGACAUCUAAGGUCACAACACUUGCUUAGUCCUUCCACCUUCAGAUGGGUCCACCCAACACCAUCUUUGGGUUUGUUCCCACACCAUGUCCUUCACGUGAUUCAUCUAGCGCACCUAGAUGAGAUGCAAGAUGCAAGUGCAUAAAUAUGGAAAAUAGCAACACAAGAUGCAUCCCAUAAAAGUAUGCAUGACAUAGGCAUCCAAAGUUAUUUAGGUAACAUGCCAUUCUGUAACGUCCCACCUUCACGAGGCCAGGUCCGCUUACAUCUGGUAGCUUUUCUAGUAUAUAGUUAGUCCCCACAGACUAACACUAUUCUUUUCUGCACACAUUAUCCUCACUCGUGCGCACCCGAGAAGUACUUCCUGGUCGGUCAACCUUCCCUAAAUUUCUCCUGGCCAAGCAUGCUUAACUUUAGAGUUCUUUGGAGAUGGGCUUCCGCUAUUAAGCCCUAGGUCGGGUUGUAACUUGUUGGUAUGAGUCUCCUAUUAAUCCUAUUAAUCCCUAGGUCGGGUGUUACAUCCAACAUCAGUGAUAGUAGUGGGCUACCUAGAUUCGGACCUCAGAGAAGUUAACUUGAUCCACACAUUUUUUGAUACUUGCCCUUCAUAGUAAACCUUUAUUCAGAGACUUGCCCUUUAUUCCGUGAAGCAUUGUUACUUUAGGAGGAAUCUAAGACAAUAUUGUGAUGUGUACUUUAUUCCUAGGUAUAAAUGGUGGGUUAGAGCAUCAGGAGCCACCUGUACUAUUAGCUUUUUUAGUGAAACUAAUACAAGCCAUAAGAACUUCGCACCAGGUCACAAGCUUCAUAGUGGUUCAAGGCUCAUUCACAAGAUGUGAAAACAGUCCUCUACCAAAAUGGUUGGAGUAUAACUUUCCAUGCAUGCAGUUCUCUUUCUCUGAUGACAACAUUGUACUUACCACCCGGUUAAGAGAAUGGUGAAUGGGAUAGCUGACUUUGUUGGUUCAACACCUUCCAUGAUCAUUUACUUUAAGGGAAUUAUUGCAUCCAAACAUCAAAUGUUAUCUGGGUCGAAUCAGAUGUAACAUUUUGGGUAACACAUAGAAGGUACCCAAGGCAUGUAAGAAUUGGAUAACCACUACUGAAGAAGGAUGAUAGUGGGGCCUAUAGUUCACCAACAGUUGCAAGUAUUCAAUCAACUAAAGAAAUAGCGUACCACCAAGUAGGUUAAGCAUGAUCUUUCUUCAUGAUGCAGUUGCAUAAGAGUUAGGUUGACUUGUACCAUAGCAAAACCAAUCCAGUGGAACUACUUUUGCCUUUGGGGCUCCCUUUUCAAGAUCAGCCGGUAGCUCUGAUAUUGGAAAUCUAUUAGUUGACACCCUUCAGAUUGUUUUUGACUCGGACUGGCACAAAUGGGUACAAAGAAUCUUAUUUCAGCAUAUAAGCACUAUCUAUACAGCAAGACAUUGCCCAUAUUGUAAUCCAUGGCACCAAAACAAAUACCACUUUCUACACGAAGGAUGAUCGAUAUCAAAAGGGAGAUUGUAGAUUUCUACCCCUUUUGGGUUUUGGUUCCUAUUUCAACAAUUACCACUCACAUUUCCAUGAAAUUUGGUAGAAUACAUAUCCAUGAGUCUUCCAACCUCUAACCAAAAUUCAGCUCAAACAGACACUAUUUGUGUAAGCAGAACAUAUAUAUACUAAAUUUGUUUUGUGCUAAAACAAUAGCAUUCCGGACUGACAAGACAUCUCUCAACUCCAAAGUUUAAUUCACUAUUUGAUGAAAUAUAUCCUUCGUGGCUGUCAAUCCAUCAUUACCUUUCUUGAGAUUAGCCUUGUUACUAGCAACCAAUCAAUUGGCUCUCAGCACUAAAAUUUCCAAAGCUCCACUCUUAACCACAACAAUUGCGGUUAACACUUAACAAUUGGUCAUUCUCAAAGCCAGAAGACAAGGAUUCAUGCUAAAGAUGGUUGACUUUAGCUGCAUGACCAUGAUGCACAUAAAGAUCGAGACUUAGGAAAACUAGAUCACAAGCACAAUGGUGAUGAACGAUGCAUGUUCAACAUAUAACUUGUCCAACAUUCAGUGUCGUGUGUCCUUUUGGUUCGGCGUGGAUGACCCAUGUUGCUCAUUAAAUGAUCAUUGUUAUUGUAGGGACAAUGAAAUAGUGUCACUUGUCUACCACCUCUUGCAGUCUAUUAAUGUUUAUGUCAGUGACUUGUUGUCAAGGGUAUCAGUAAGGGGUAAACUUACCGAUGCACAUAACGAGAUUACCCGUACACAGGUCGAGGCCCUCAACUCGACGCCCUGGUCAUACAUGUGCGCGGCCGUCGACGGCCGCAGCCUCGAAGACGGAAAAGGCGUCGAGCGAAUCGAUCAGGGGGCGCCAGCUACCAUCGAACACAGAAACGGGCUCGCGCGAAUUGGGAGGCGUCGAGCACAAGGACGCCGCCCGCCGCCUGAUGCGCGCACGACAGCCAGGGCAUUUAAUGCGCCUGUCGCUUUCCCACCUAACACGCUGAUCACGGGAAGCGUGAUAGGGAACAGGCACCCGUCCUGUCGUUCUUUUUGCAGCCUUCCCCACCAAACGACCCAGGGCAUGUCAGGACGCGGGAAACAGGGACGGAACGUCCAAUCAGGACCCCCUCGAGACAACCAAGGUCAGCGCUCCGGAUACCAGGGCAUUGCACGGCGUCUGACCCUCGACCAGACAAGGUUCCUUCUUGGGGACGAGUCGGGCAUCGACUGACAACACCGCAACCACUCCGCCGGAUCUGCCACCGUAUCGUACAGGCAUGCGACCGAUGAACCAGCCCCAGACGGCGCGCAGAGCAGGAUACAUGAGCACGCGUAAUUGUUGACACUUGCUAACACCACUUGAAUACUAGGUUGUCAUCCCCAGCAUGGCACUAGAGUGUACUAUGGUAUUUAUACGCACAUAGAUAAUCCGCAAGCGCACGGAUAUCGUUGAAGAUUUUACCCGGUUAAAGGUUUUAUCGUAUCCACAGGGAAACGGGAGAACCAACUACGCUCUAACUUAACCAAGAUAGAUAGAUAGGUGUAAAUAGGAAAGAUGAUAGAAUUGAAUAAGAACAAUAUUAAAGGUAAGAUAACAGUGAGUGAUAAUAUGGGAAUAGAGAAUAGAGCAAUUCUAGUAUAUGGGCGAUGGUAGCAGAAUAGAGAGGAUAACUAUGGUUUCUCUACUUCAAAGGGGUAUGUCUAUGUCUGGGACGAACCACGUGAUAAGGGUACACCACAAAGGAUGCUUAUCCAUAGGCCGAUAAACCCUACCCGUCCUGCUAACGAGAGGUGGACUACAGGGGACCAACGUAACUGUCACCUACGCGGCCUACCACACGAUCCAGCUAGUCAGGGGAUAUCCACAAGUAAUCUAGGUCUAAGCACCACGCUUACACCUAUACUACAACUCUAACCUAUAGGGUCCUAUAGAUUAGAAGUACUCAAAAGAGUUGUGAACCAGAACAUACAUGAUUAGUAAUUGCAUAAUGAAUUAGAAGUAGAUUACUAGAGUCAUCCCAUGAGCAAGCUUGAUUAGAGCUUGAUCAUGGCGAAGUACAACCGGAGGAAGAACUGACAGGCCGGCCUCUCCUCUAAUCCUCCUUCGCUCUCCAUCUCGCUACUAUCUAGAUCUACUCUAGUUUAGAGAAGAGAGGAGAGCUCUCAUCUCUAAACCCUAGCUUUUGCUCUGUCUAUCAAUAAUGAAUAAUGAUCAAGGGGUGCCUCCUCCAGGGGCCAGGGGGUCUGGUUUUAUAGUCCCCUCAAGUGAUCCUGGGUCGUCGGAUCAAACCGACAUUGAUUGAAUGGUUAUUCUUGAUCCUUUAGGUCGAUGGAGCAUAAUCCGCGAGAUUGAGCGUGAUUGGCCGAAAAAGGUGGGCGGGCGCCCUAAGGACUUGGGCGGGCGCCCUGUCCCUGACUCCGUUCGGUCUCCGCUUCCUUCCCGUGGCUUCUGGAGUCUUCUAGAUGUAAGAUAAUUGCGCGGCACGUUGAUAUCUCUAUGUAAUCCCGACGUGUGGGCCUUUCUUCCUUAUUUCCUGAUAACCCCCUGCAGAAAUAGACAAACACCAAAACUCGUGGAAUUCUAUCAGAUAAAACCCUAAGUCUCGAUGUUAAUUUCAUUUGGAUCCUUUUCUUUGUUUAUUUGAUAGUUAAAUUUGAUACUUAAGGACCGUCAACAAACUCCCCCAAGCUUACCUCUUGCUCGUCCCUGAGCAAGGAUAGACUCAGCUAUGGAUCAUAAGUUGUUGCAAUAUCUUUAAAAAUUGACGGUACACAUGCUUUUAAAUGAGGUCUCAUCUCUGAGUUAGAGUAAACUGUCAAGACUUAAAAGUUACUUACUUUACCUUUCACCAUGGGACUUGUAACCGUCACUUCUGUCUUGAGUGGUUAAAAGAUAGAACAGUCCAGUCAAGUGCUGUCGGUGUUUUUCCCCCGGGGGGGGUCACCCCAACGAGUAAAUUUGUAUGCGUGCUCCCCUUUCCGGAUGGUGAUGCAAGAAGACACAGAGAUUUAUCCUGGUUCGGGCAAGAGAAGGCCCUACGUCCAGCGGGGGGAGAGAGUUUGUAUUAUCUUGCACCUAAGUGCUUGUACAGGGGCGAAUACAAGCGUGGAAUGAAAUGUGUCGCUCUACUACGUGUGUGUGUGUGUUCUCGCGUUGUGAUGUCCCCCUCUUCUAUUCCUGAGUCCCUCCUUUUAUAGCUCCAAGGAGAGACAAAGGGUACAUGCAUAGAUAUUAGAGUAGGGAUCGAUAGCCGCAUGGAGCGCUGACCUACUCGAGACUUCCGUACGUCAUGGCCUCGAGCCGUCCCAUCUUGAUAGCUUGGUGAUGAUUACGCGUGCUCCUGCGUGCUGCCCUGCCAGCCGCCUUAUGCCGGUUCUGAGAUCGCAUGCUCGUAUGGUAUGGUGGCGGAUCCGGCGGAGCAGCUGUGGUGUUGUCAGUCGAUGCCCGACUUGUCCCCGGGAAGGGACCUCGUUCGGUCGAGGGUCGGGCGCCGCGUAAUAGGCUGAUAUCCGGAGCGCUGACCUUGGGUGUCUCGAGGGGGUCCCGAUUAGACGUUCCAUCCUCGUUUCCUGCGUCCUGACACACCCUGGGUCGUUCGGUGGGAAGGCUGCAAAAAGAACGAUGGGACAGAAGCUUGUUCCCUAUCACGCCUUCCGUGACCCGUGUGUUAGGUGGGAAACGUCAGAUGCAUUUAAUGCUCCCGCCCGCGUGCGCGCGUCAGGCGGCGGACAGUGUCCUAACGCUCGACGUCUCUCGGUUCGCUCGAGCCCGCUUCCGCCUUCGACGGUAGUCGUUGCUCGAGCCCUGACCGAUUCGCUCGACGCUAUUUCCGUAUUCGAGGCUGCGACCGUCGAUGGCGGCGCGUAAGUAAGAUUAAAGCGUCGAAUUGGGGGUCCCAACCUUCGUACGGGCAAUCUCAUAAUGCGCAUCGCUGAGGGUACCCCUUACCGAUACCCUCGACAAGUGCCAUGUCGCUUAUUCUUGAUCAGCUAUAGCUCUGAAGUUUUUGCAGAUUUCCAAAUAAAACUCAGAGAUUCCUUUGUAUGACUCUCUCAUAUCUCUCUUUUGUGGUAUUUCUGGAUCCUUACCAAGGCAGUGAUGGUAUAUGCCUUCUCUCAAAAUAUGUGGUAUUUGUGGUAUAAGGGAUAGUGACAUUGUCUUCUCUCUCACCCUACUCUAAUAAGGCUUUAAUAUCUGGAGCUCAUAGGUGGGAGAUAAAAUAUACAUACUUACAAGACAUUUAUUGUAUAAUCAAACCAUGGAUCCAAAGAAACAAAUCAAUAAGCCAAAUCAAGAUGUGCAUGUGUGGCGAAUGAAUAGUGUAUGGUGAUGAUGGUGAUAACAAUGGUGAAAGUCUAAUUCUACUUUUGCUCUUUUGAGGGGAUACAUACCUUCCUUGUUUUUUGAAACUUUAUGAGGAGAAUGAGAUGCUCUUUUUUUUCUUUUCUCUCAGAUGGGUAUCCUGUACCCCUAAUUCUACUGUCAGACACUUGUCCAUUUUUACCUCUCGUCUCACUCUUUUUCUUUUCUUUCGAGGUUUCGGGCACUUGCCCCUUUUUAUUUCCUCGUUUAUUUUUUUUUCUUUUCUUUUUUUUUCUUCUUUUUUUCAGAGCACUCAUCUCUUGAGAUAAUAUAGCAAGUGGUAGUAGCAAGAUAACUUGAGCAUUUAUUUCACAAGGGAAAAAUACAGAUAUUUUUGGCUAUUCUCUCCCGAAUUAGGAGUAGAAUAUUUUUAGGUGAUUUUGGAGAUGGAAAUGGAUGGAUAUAUGUGGAUGGUACUUCCGGAGUAGAAGUAGCAUAUAUAUGAGUGAACGUGCAAGUGAAUCUUGAUUUAACCACAUGACAAGCUCCUAAGGGUCUACACAGCUUGACCACACUCAAUGCUCAUAAGCAGUAAAUAAUAAAUGUGUGGCUCAAAGUCUAGCAAGCAUGUAUAUAUGGCUGUGGUAGGAAUUUAAACUUUCAUCAUACAGGAACUCAUCAUGCAACAUUUUAAAGAUUUUUCAAAGAUAAAAUUCUCCAGAAUUCUAGCAUCUCGAGGAAUAGAUAAACAGCAGCUCAACCUUCACAUAUCAUAUCCGUUAACAACUUAGAUUUCAGAUCAAGUUUUCAUCCCACAAGUUUAGAUCUAGAGCAAGCUUUAAAUUAUAACAGUUAUGUCUAAACUUGAGAGAGAACUUCAAAUUUGCAAAUUAGGCAGAGCAACUAUUCAUCAUAUCCAUGCUAGAGUUUUAUUAUUAAGAUUCUGAUUAGCAUAGCCACUUUAUUUAUUUAUUAAACACACUAAGCAAAAGAUAUAUAUAAGCACAAAAUCUUUAUUUGGUUUUUCAUAGUUUAUGUAUUUUAAUAUUCUAAUAUAAUAUAAGUAUAAAGAUAGGUAGAAAUACUUAGCGAGAUAAAUGGGGGUGCUCUCCCCCAAGCUGAAUUUUGACGUAAUUUCUCUUGAUGUAGCUAGCAGGUGGCAGAAGUGUAUUUGAAAGUCAGCACCAUUCUGACAGCGAUUAGAAUGUCCUCCGUCUGCUAGUCUUCUUGAUUCUUAAAUUAUGUGGAGCUCAAAUAGACAACAAAGCUUGUGGAACUAAUUAAGUGUUAGCAUAAAUAUCUAGCCUUCAUCACGUUGAGCUUCCUCAAUAAAUAUUACUCCCUAUUUUUAUAUUUUUAUUUUAUAAAGUAGAAAAGAAAUAUUUAUUUUAUUUUUAUGCCACCACACUGAAGGUACUUAUGGGUUUUAUGCCACUCGUAUACUCACAUGGGGCUUAGUAUUUUUUAACAUUUUUAUUUUCUUUUCAAGAUAGCGUGAUUAACUAAUAAUCUAUUUAAGGAAAGUAAAUAAUUAAAUGGAAAAGGGAAUGCAGAAAGGAUAAAUAUGGAUAACUACCAAUCUUACCUUUCGGCGAGGGUUCAAUGUUUUAAGUCUUCUUGUAAAGACUUCUCAUCGUGUUCAUUCUUCAGGUGCGUCAUUUGAUUCAGGUGCGGACCUUGACGUCUGCACCUUUUAAUACGGUGUCACCCAUGUUCUUCGUUUGCCCAGCAGUUCGAAGUGCUGUGUUAGCAGUAUCUUGCUCAGUGUGUUUGUGCUCAUAGUGUACCUGCUCAUAGAGACAAGGCAGAGAUCAAGUGCAUGGGCCAUGUUGGUAGAAAACACCAACAGAACCAAAAGUGUAUUUGUUCUUCUCUAACCUUAAGCAUAGUGAGCAAGACAAGUUGAUGGAUGAUAAGUUCAUGAGUGUAGCACUUAUAACAUUUGUCAGAUCAGAUCGCUCAACCUUAUGGAAAGAUAAUCUAUCUAUGUAUAUGUCUUUUUCUUUAUAUCUCUCAAUGAUUGAAUGUGUAACAUUUUACCUCAUAUGAUUAGGAGUGUGGGAUCAUGGAGGUAGUACUAAGAACAAGGAUUAAAGGACUAAACAUGUUGAAUCAGUUGGGUUGGUUAAUCUAGAGUUGUAAAUCAUACACGUUUGUCUCUUUUAUUUAUAUGAACGCCAGAACCAAGGAGAAGCUUAUAAAAGAGAUACUCAAGUACCUCAAGAUGUUACCUUGCUCGAAUAGUGAUGGUACACUAUCAUCUUGUGGAAGCUUUCCUUUCUUAGCGGUUGUGCGUCGUAUUUGUGGCACCCU